rnacentral:lncRNA from 1 species
AAUAGAGUCAAGCCAGGUUUAAUGAACUAACGUCUUAUCAAAUAGAGUCAAGCCAUGAAUUAAUAAGUUGUCGUCUACACGGAGUCAAUGAGUUAAUGAGUAAUCUAUUCAUGUCUGAGUAAAGUCCAUCGUUGUAUGAUUAUCAGUUAAUUGAGACCAACAUAAAGACUCUUACAGAAUAUGGAACUUGGAUAUGUGAUUGUUAUUGACGGUUUGUCGAUAUGGAAAUGGUAUUCCGAGUUCAGUGAUUUCUGUAAAUGUAAAAACAAGCAACCUAUGUUUUCCUUCAUCAAAGUUGACAGAAAUAUCG